rnacentral:rRNA from 1 species
UACGUAGGGUCCAAGCGUUGUCCGGAUUUAUUGGGCGUAAAGAGCUCGUAGGCGGUUCGGUAAGUCGGAUGUGAAAACUCAGGGCUCAACCCGGAGACGCCAUCCGAUACUGCUGUGACUUGAGUCUGGUAGGGGAACACGGAAUUCCUGGUGUAGCGGUGGAAUGCGCAGAUAUCAGGAGGAACACCGAUGGCGAAGGCAGG